rnacentral:rRNA from 1 species
UUAGUGGCUCGAGGACGAACGCUGGCGGCGUGCCUAAUACAUGCAAGUCGAACGGUCUUUCUAUGGAAGCUUGCUUCCACUGAGAAGAUAGUGGCGAACGGGUGAGUAACACGUGGGUAACCUGCCCAUAAGAGGGGGGAUAACAUCCGGAAACGGGUGCUAAUACCGCAUAGUUUUCUUGAUCGCAUGAUCGGGAAGGGAAAGACGGCCUUUGUGCUGUCGCUUAUGGAUGGACCCGCGGCGUAUUAGUUAGUUGGUGAGGUAACGGCUCACCAAGACGAUGAUACGUAGCCGACCUGAGAGGGUGAUCGGCCACAUUGGGACUGAGACACGGCCCAAACUCCUACGGGAGGCAGCAGUAGGGAAUCUUCCGCAAUGGACGAAAGUCUGACGGAGCAACGCCGCGUGAGUGAAGAAAGGUUUUCGGAUCGUAAAACUCUGUUGUCAGAGAAGAACAAGUUGGAGAGUAACUGCUCCAGCCUUGACGGUAUCUGACCAGAAAGCCACGGCUAACUACGUGCCAGCCGCCGC